rnacentral:misc_RNA from 1 species
UUCGAUCACUGUCAACAUGGCAGCUUCCAUUCGCUAUGUUCCGUGCAAGACGUGCGGGUAUCACAAGUCAUUUUCAAGACAUAAGUUUCACAGAUUCUUCUCGAAAAAAUGCCAGGGUGGAGUCGGGAUGGAGAAGUGUCGUGGGGCUGGAGAUACAUGCCCAGAUACAGUCCAUGUCCAAGCUGUUCUCUGCCUCAGCUACGAAGUAUGGAAGUCCAAUAAACACACAAGUCUCCUUCUUUGAUGCUGCCCUGCCUGGCACCCUGCCGGUCCUGAACCGAGAGUGUGUCGCCGCAGGUGUGCUCACAGCACUGGCCCUCAACUGUCACGUCAACCAAGUGUCCAAGUUUGACAGAAAACACUACUUCUAUGCUGACCUUCCGGCAGGCUACCAGAUCACCCAGCAGCGACAACCCCUGGCAGUGGGUGGAGAGGUGGACUACAUGACUGUGGAACCCAACAGGAAGCUACCCCCGACACAAAGGAAGGUCCGACUGAUCCAGCUGCAGCUGGAACAAGACAGCGGGAAGAGUCUCCAUGACCCCACAGGUCACAUCAGUCUCAUCGACCUCAACCGAGCAGGUGUUGGUCUGAUGGAGAUUGUGACAGAGCCAGACUUCAACAAUGGAGAAGAUGCUGCAGCGUUUGUGAAGGAGCUGCAGCUGAUACUGCAGACCCUGGGGACUUGUGAUGGCAAGAUGGCAGAGGGCUCAUUGCGAGUGGAUGCCAACAUCUCAGUACACAGGCCAGGAGAACCACUUGGGGUGAAGAGCGAGGUGAAGAAUAUCAACAGCACCAGGGGUGUCGCCAAGGCGAUAAACUUUGAAAUAAAACGUCACAUCAGUGAACUGGAAGCUGGUCGCGAGAUUGUCAAUGAAACCAGGUCAUUUGAAUCUCACAGUGGAAAGACAGUUGCAAUGAGAGACAAGGAGAGACUGAUUGACUACCGCUUCAUGCCAGAGCCAAACCUGCCUCCCCUUCAUGUGUACUCAACCGUCCCAGACCAAACCAGGCCGCAGGUCAUCCUCAUAGACCAAGUACAGGCCACCAUGCCGGAACUCCCUGCCCAAACGCGCUCACGUCUGCAGGAACAAUAUGGCCUCUCUUUGUCUGUGGUCCUUACUCUCAUUAAUGAAAGGAUGGUGUCCUACUUUGAGACUGUGAUGAAAGAGAAGACUCGAGACGCCAAGUCUGUGGCCAACCUGCUUGUCAACGAACUGCUUGGACAGCUCAACUCACUGUCACGGACCUUCCCCGACAGGUGUUGGGCGAGAUGAGUCUGCACCCCGACAGCAACCCCCGGAGGAUUGUGACGGCCAAUGACUGGUUCCAGAUACAGGACGUGGACAGACUCACACCAGCAUGUGAAGAAGCGGUUCAGCAACAGCAACGAUCUGUGGAGGAAUACAAGCGGGGGAACUACAAGUCGAUCAGGAGACUGGUGAACCACGUGCAGAGGAACAUGGAACAUCGCGCUGACCCAGUGGUGGUCAUACAAAUACUGAAGAACUUGAUGGACUGAUGGAUUGUUACAUGGAAUAAACUAUACAUUCACA